rnacentral:rRNA from 1 species
GACGAACGCUGGCGGCGUGCUUAACACAUGCAAGUCGAACGGAAAGGCCCUGCUUUUGUGGGGUGCUCGAGUGGCGAACGGGUGAGUAACACGUGAGUAACCUGCCCUUGACUUUGGGAUAACUUCAGGAAACUGGGGCUAAUACCGGAUAGGAGCUCCUGCUGCAUGGUGGGGGUUGGAAAGUUUCGGCGGUUGGGGAUGGACUCGCGGCUUAUCAGCUUGUUGGUGGGGUAGUGGCUUACCAAGGCUUUGACGGGUAGCCGGCCUGAGAGGGUGACCGGCCAAAUUGGGAAGGAGAUACGGCCCAGAAUCCUAGGGGGGGCAGGAGUGGGGAAUAUUACAAAAUGGGGGGAAGCCUGAUGCAGAAACGCCGGGGGGGGGAUGACGGCCUUGGGGUUGUAAACCGCUUUCGCCUGGAAAGAAGGGGGGGGGAGGGUAAUGGGUAAAGAAGCAACGGCUAACUACGU